rnacentral:rRNA from 1 species
AUGAAGCCCUGCACGGUGCUGUUCCUCGUAGCCGUGCUCACCGCGUCGGGCGCGGUGCGCGGGGCGUCCAUGGCAGCGCGCUCGGAGUGCGACCCAUGGGCGCUGCGGCCGUGCGCCCCGGUGAUCCUCUGGAGCGCGCCCCCGUCCAGCGCGUGCUGCGCCAGGCUCCGGGAGCAGAGGCGGUGCCUGUGCAGGUACGCCAGGAACCCCGACCUGGGCAGAUACAUCAACUCCCAGAACAGCAAGGAGGUCGCGGCUGCGUGUCGCGUGCGGGUUCCUAUGUGCUAG